UAAAAGGUUCUACUUAGAACCACAUUAUUGAAAUAUUUAGAAUUACU
rfam:Biomphalaria glabrata isolate BB02 linkage group LG29 unlocalized genomic scaffold LG29_random_Scaffold27, whole genome shotgun sequence.